rnacentral:piRNA from 1 species
AACAGACAGAAUAGAGUUCGAAAU